rnacentral:tRNA from 1 species
GUCCCUGUAGUGCAAUGGAUAGCGCGUUGGACUUCUAAUCCAAAGGUCGUGGGUUCGAAUCCCGCCUGGGAUA